CCUGAGUUCAGGCAGGGUCACCCGCUGAACUUAAGCAUAUCAAUAAGCGGUGGAAAAGAAACCAACCGGGAUUCCCUUAGUAACGGCGAGCGAACAGGGAUGAGCCCAGUAUGUAAAUCUCCAGCCUUUGGCUGGCGAAUUGUAGUCUGGAGGAGUGUUCCCUGGGUGGGUGCUAGCCGAAGUAUACUGGAAGGUAUCGCUCUAGAGGGUGAGAGCCCCGUAGGCCAGUCUUCCCGCCCUUCACGGGACGCUUUCGAAGAGUCGGGUUGUUUGGGAAUGCAGCCCUAAUUUGGUGGUAAACCCCAUCUAAGGCUAAAUACCAAUGGGAGACCGAUAGCGAAAAAGUACCUCGAGGGAACGAUGAAAAGACCGCUGGCAAGCGAGUAAAAGAGUGCAUGAAAUUGUGUAGUGGGAAGGGAUGGCCCGGUAGCAUGCGCUCGGGUUGAUGUGGUUCGUCAGAACUGCUGUCUGCACUGAGUGCUGGCUGGUACCGGCGCCUCUGGCCGUAUAACACCCUGCUGAGAUGCAAGGCGCUGCGGGCAGAGGUGCCGAGGUUGAUCAGUGCUUUGCCCCUUCGGGGAGCUGCUCUGACAGGGUACCAGCUGAAGCCGGUCCAUCUGCCCGUCUUGAAACACGGACCAAGGAGUCUAGCAAGUGCGCGAGUCGGUGGGUGGUAAACCCAUGAGGCGUAAUGAAAGUAAAAGGUGGGACGGCGCAAGCCGGCACCAUCGGCCAACCAUGAGCUUUUGUGAAAGGUUUGAGCAUGAGCGCAGCCGCUAGGACCCGAAAGAUGGUGAACUAUGCCUGUGCACGACGAAGCCGGCGGAAACGCCGGUGGAGGUCGGUAGAUGUGCUGACGUGCAAAUCGCUUUUCAGACAUGGGUAUAGGGGCGAAAGACUAAUCGAACCAUCUAGUAGCUGGUUUCCUCCGAAGUUUCCCCCAGGAAAGCAGGGACUUAUUCGCGGUUUUGUGCGGUAGAGCGAAUGAUUAGCGGUUACGGGGAUGAAACAUCCUCGGCCGAUUCUCAAACUGCGUACGUGCAAGACGCCCUCGUCGCUUAAGUGGACGGAGGCAUAGAACGCGAGUCCCUAGUGGGCCAUUUUUGGUAAGCAGAACUGGCGAUGCGGGAUGAUCCGAAAGCUGGGUUAAGGCGCCAAAGUGCCCGCUAACCUAGACCCCACAAAGGGUGUUGGCUGAUCCAGACAGCAGGAAGGUGGUCAUGGAAGUCGAAACCCUCCAAGGAGUGUGUAACAACUCACCUGCCGAAUCAGCUAGCCCCGAAAAUGGAUGGCGCUAAAGCGGGCGGCCUAUACCCAGCCAUUGGGGCAAGACGUAUGCCCCAAUGAGUAGGAGGACGCGGAGGUUGCUGCGAAGCCUUGGGCGCAAGCCCGGGUGAAGCGGCCUCUGGUGCAGAUCUUGGUGGUAGUAGCAAAUAUUCAAAUGAGAACUUUGAAGACUGAACGGGAGAAAGGUUCCAUGUGAACAGCACUUGGACAUGGGUUAGUCGGUCCUAAGAGAUGGUUUAACUGCCUCGGGAUGUGGCGCUCCGCCACGGCCAUCGAAAGGGAAACGGGUUAAGAUUCCCGUACCUGGACGACGCGGCUGACGGUAACGUGCACCUCUGUGGGGACGCCGGGGCAGGUCCGGGAAAGAGUUGUCUUUUCUUUUUAACAGCCCGAAGGCCCUGGAAUCGGAUUAUCCGGAGAUAGGGCUCAGAGGCUGGUAAAGCAUCGCACGUCUCGCGAUGUCCCGAGCGCCUGCCACGGCCCCUGAAAACCUGCAGAGGCGGAAAUCUUUUCACCGAUGUCGCCAGGCCGUACUCAUAACCGCAUCAGGUCUCCAAGGUGAGCAGCCUCUAGUCGAUAGAACAAUGUAGGUAAGGGAAGUCGGCAAAAUGGAUCCGUAAGUUCGCGAUAAGGAUUGGCUCUGAGGGCUGGGCAGCGGGAGCCCUGCUCGGAUGUGUGGCGCCGCGGUGGGCCUGCCGGAGCCUUCUGGGCAAAGGCGGGCUGCCGACGGCGACGCGCUGACGGGCAGGGAGGGGCUUUCGGGUCCCACUUCCCCCUGCAACGAACAGCCGACUCAGAACUGGUACGGACAAAGGGAAUCCGACUGUUUAAUUAAAACAAAGCAUCCCGACGGCGCUAACGCGUGUUGACGGGUUGUGAUUUCUGCCCAGUGCUCUGAAUGUCAAAGCGAAGAAAUUCGACCAAGCGCGGGUAAACGGCGGGAGUAACUAUGACUCUCUUAAGGUAGCCAAAUGCCUCGUCAUCUAAUUAGUGACGCGCAUGAAUGGAUUAAUGAGAUUCCCACUGUCCCUAUCUACUAUCUAGCGAAACCACAGCCAAGGGAACGGGCUUGGAACAAACAGCGGGGAAAGAAGACCCUGUUGAGCUUGACUCUAGUUCGACUCUGAGAAAUGGCUUAAGAGGUGUAGAAUAAGUGGGAGCUCCGGCACCGGUGAAAUACCACUACUUUUAACGCUAUUUUUCUUACUCCGUAGCGUAGAGGCGGCCUUCCGGCCUCUUUUUAGCUCCAAGCGCUGGCAUUGCCGGUGCAAUCUAAGCGGAAGACAGUGUCAAACGGGGAGUUUGGCUGGGGCGGCACAUCUGUUAAACGAUAACGCAGGUGUCCUAAGGGUUGCUCAGCGGGAACAGAAAUCUCGCGUAGAACAAAAGGGUAAAAGUGACCUUGAUAGUGGGACUUUCACGUCCACCUAAUGUGAGAGCACGGCCUAUCGAUCCUUUAGCCUGUCGGGGUUUGACGCUAGAGGUGCCAGAAAAGUUACCACAGGGAUAACUGGCUUGUGGCAGCCAAGCGUUCAUAGCGACGUUGCUUUUUGAUCCUUCGAUGUCGGCUCUUCCUAUCAUUCUGACGCAGAAGUCAGAAAGUGUCGGAUUGUUCACCCGCCAAUAGGGAACGUGAGCUGGGUUUAGACCGUCGUGAGACAGGUUAGUUUUACCCUACUGUUGGACAGCCCCGCCAUAGUAAUCCGGCGCAGUACGAGAGGAACUGCCGGUUCGGGUAUUUGGUAACGCCCUUGCCUGAAAAGGCAGUGGGGCAAAGCUAACACCCGUUGGCUAACAACUGAACGCCUCUAAGUUGGAAGCCAUGCUAGGAGCGGGGCUUUCUGCCCAUGCACCGUCACCCGUCUACUGAUACGCCAGCCUUGUGCUUGGCGGAAGAGCAGUCACCGGAUCUAUCCUAAUGGAUUUUCCAACCGAUGCGUGGGGUUAAUCCUUUGCAGACGACUUAGAACUGGCGGGGUAUUGUAAGCAGUAGAGUGGCCUUGUUGCUACGAUCUGCUGAGAUU
rnacentral:rRNA from 1 species